GUCACUAAUUCUCAGCAGUUUGACCAGUUAUGUGUCCCUCCAGGAACUGCUGCCCAUUGGAACCAAGUUUCUCUGACCAAAGCUCACAACCCAGGGGUGUGAGCAUAGGUGAUCAGAACACCAACCCACGGGCGUGAGCAUAGGCGUGAGCAUAGGUAGGUGAUUGGAAGGCGAUUUGAUGGGCAAUUGCAUCUAUUUAGUGAAACCGCAGUAGCUUUGCCAGCAGGGCCUAUGACUCCCUCAGGCAAGAGAUCUGAAGUCCCUUACGAAGGCUGCGUUUCCCAGCUGUGUUUCAGCACACACACAGCCAUUGUGAGUGCUCACAGCAAGUGAGACAUGAAAAGAGGUCACUGUGAACUUUUAAGCCAUCUUGUUCCUAGGAAAAGUGUUUUUAGUUGUGAACUCAACUAUUCUUGCUGCGGCUGGCCGGGUUCUCAGGUGACACCAAGAUUCCUGCCCACCACACCCUGCCCUGUGUGAUCUUCUCCCUUUGGGCAUGGGUGUCCUGACCUCAUCAGAAAGCCAGAGGCUAUGGAUUUGUUCCAGAUUAAGAUACAUCAGGUUUGACCAGCCAAGACCACCCGAUAACACCAAGGCCCAGAUGAUCCAACAUCCAGAACCGUUUCAAGGCAACUAGCUCAGACGAUACACCCUCACAGACUACUCCAUAAUCCUAAAAUUUUCUUUGUGUCCCCAUAAGAUACAGCGCCCCCCUCCAGCAGGAAGUAGUAAGAGAAGCUACACCCAAAUUCCCAAAUAUACCAAGCUGACUUUGGAGAUGUGUAAAAGUUAAAACCUUCCUUUUUUUCAAAAAAAAAAAGGGGGGGGAGUGCUGUGGGAUGGUCUGUAUGUCAAAUGCUCUGAUUGGUCAAUAAAUAAAACACUAAUUGGCCAGUGGCCAGGCAGGAAGUAUAGGCAGGAUUAACAGAGAGGAGAACUGAGAGAACAGGAAGGUGGGAGGAGACACUGCCAGCCGCUGCCAUGACAAGCUGCAUGUGAAGACGCCAGUAAGCUACGAGCCACGUGGCAAGGUAUAGAUUUAUAGAAAUGGAUUAAUUUAAGAUAUAAGAACAGUUAGCAAGAAGCCUGCCACGGCCAUACAGUUUGUAAGCAAUAUAAGACUCUGUGUUUACUUGGUUGGGUCUGAGUGGCUGUGGGACUGGCAGGUGAGAGAGAUUUGUCCUGACUGGGCCGGGCAGGAAAACUCUAGCUACAUUGAGGUUUAAACUCUUCUUUAGUAACUGAUGCAUAUUAUUUCUGCCUCCUGUCUUAGUUGCCCAACAAUGUAUUUUAGAUAGAUAUAACUUGACCUAUGGAUGUGACUUUGGUUCACUUAUUCUGGUUUGCUGAAUAGUCUGCUGAGUGAAGAUUUCCAGGUCUUUCCACCAUAAUUAUAGAUUGACAGUUUGUACAGCCAUUUUAUAUAUUUUGAUGCUAUUUAUUAGAUGUUUAUGGUCAAUAUACCUACUUGAUAGACUACCAGAUAGAAUAUUCUAACGAUAUGAAUAUUUCUUUUGUUGGUUAAUUUUGAUUGUCAGUCACCUAGGAGACACACCUCUGGAUAUGUUUGUGAGGGCAUUUCUAGGAAGGACUGGCAUCAGGAGAGAGGGAACCUAUCUCAAAACAGGCAUCUUGGAACAGGCAGCUCCGAGUUCUGAGGAGCAGGCAGUGUCCCUGAGCAAGUGUGUCUGCUGUGUUGUCUCCCUCCUCUACUGACAUCAGAUUCCAGCUUCUUUGGCCUUCCAACCUGUUCUCAACAGUAGUGACUCUCCAGGGAGCUUUUGGACUUUCAUCACUGGACUGGGACUGCUGAGACAUUCAGCCUCUGGAAUGAGAAACUACAGUUCUUAACCUCUGAAGCUUGCAGACCAUCAUUGUUAGGUUGCCCAGCCCCUACAGUGUAAGAUAUUCUAAUAAAUCACCUCUUAUAAAAUAUAUUCACAUUUUAUUGGUUGUGUUCCCUCAGAUCCCCAUCUAAUAGAGUCUUCUUUGUGCUUUUUAAAAUUGCUUUCCAUCUUAAAUUCUCAUUUAUUCACAUUGUUUAU